UGGCAGCCAAAUGUAGAAGUAU
rnacentral:siRNA from 1 species